rnacentral:rRNA from 1 species
ACGAGACUGCGGCGUGCUACUACAUGCAAGUCGAACGGGAGUAUUGAAGAAGCUUGCUUUAGAGAUACUUUAGUGGCGGACGGGUGAGUAACGCGUGAGGAGCUGUCCUAUGCAGGGGGACAACAGCUGGAAACGGCUGCUAAUACCCCAUAAGCCGAGAGGUAAAAGGAUCAAUCCGGCAGAGGAGGUACUCGCGUCCUAUCAGCUAGUAGGUGAGGUAACGGCUCACCUAGGCGAAGACGGGUAGCCGGCCUGAGAGGGCGAACGGCCACACUGGAACUGAGAUACGGUCCAGACUCCUACGGGAGGCAGCAGUGGGGAAUAUUGGGCAAUGGGGGAAACCCUGACCCAGCGACGCCGCGUGGGUGAAGAAAUCCUUCGGGAUGUAAAGCCCUGUUGUAUGGGAAGAGCGGAAGACGGUACCAUACGAGGAAGCCCCGGCAAACUACGUG